rnacentral:rRNA from 1 species
AGAGUUUGAUCCUGGCUCAGGACGAACGCUGGCGGCGCGCCUAACACAUGCAAGUCGAACGGAGUCAAGAGGAGCUUGCUUUUCUUGACUUAGUGGCGAACGGGUGAGUAACGCGUGAGUAACCUGCCUUGGAGUGGGGGACAACAGUUGGAAACGACUGCUAAUACCGCAUAAGCCCACGGCCCGGCAUCGGGCUGAGGGAAAAGGAUUUAUUCGCUUCAGGAUGGACUCGCGUCCAAUUAGCUAGUUGGUGAGGUAACGGCCCACCAAGGCGACGAUUGGUAGCCGGACUGAGAGGUUGAACGGCCACAUUGGGACUGAGACACGGCCCAGACUCCUACGGGAGGCAGCAGUGGGGGAUAUUGCACAAUGGGGGAAACCCUGAUGCAGCGACGCCGCGUGGAGGAAGAAGGUUUUCGGAUUGUAAACUCCUGUCGUUAGGGACGAUAAUGACGGUACCUAACAAGAAAGCACCGGCUAACUACGUGCCAGCAGCCGCGGUAAAACGUAGGGUGCAGCGUGUCGGAAUUACUGGGUGUAAAGGGAGCGCAGGCGGACCGGCAAGUUGGAAGUGAAAACUAUGGGCUCAACCCAUAAAUUGCUUUCAAAACUGCUGGCCUUGAGUAGUGCAGAGGUAGGUGGAAUUCCCGGUGUAGCGGUGGAAUGCGUAGAUAUCGGGAGGAACACCAGUGGCGAAGGCGACCUACUGGGCACCAACUGACGCUGAGGCUCGAAAGCAUGGGUAGCAAACAGGAUUAGAUACCCUGGUAGUCCAUGCCGUAAACGAUGAUUACUAGGUGUUGGAGGAUUGACCCCUUCAGUGCCGCAGUUAACACAAUAAGUAAUCCACCUGGGGAGUACGACCGCAAGGUUGAAACUCAAAGGAAUUGACGGGGGCCCGCACAAGCAGUGGAGUAUGUGGUUUAAUUCGAAGCAACGCGAAGAACCUUACCAGGUCUUGACAUCCGAUGCAUAGUGCAGAGAUGCAUGAAGUCCUUCGGGACAUCGAGACAGGUGGUGCAUGGUUGUCGUCAGCUCGUGUCGUGAGAUGUUGGGUUAAGUCCCGCAACGAGCGCAACCCUUAUUGCCAGUUACUACGUAAGAGGACUCUGGCGAGACUGCCGUUGACAAAACGGAGGAAGGUGGGGAUGACGUCAAAUCAUCAUGCCCUUUAUGACCUGGGCUACACACGUACUACAAUGGCGUUUAACAAAGAGAAGCAAGACCGCGAGGUGGAGCAAAACUCAAAAACAACGUCUCAGUUCAGAUUGCAGGCUGCAACUCGCCUGCAUGAAGUCGGAAUUGCUAGUAAUCGCGGAUCAGCAUGCCGCGGUGAAUACGUUCCCGGGCCUUGCACACACCGCCCGUC